GACGAACGCUGGCGGCGUGCUUAACACAUGCAAGUCGAACGAUGAAGCUCAGCUUGCUGGGUGGAUUAGUGGCGAACGGGUGAGUAACACGUGAGUAACCUGCCCUUAACUCUGGGAUAAGCCUGGGAAACUAGGUCUAAUACCGGAUAGGAGCGCCUACCGCAUGGUGGGUGUUGGAAAAAUUUAUCGGUUUUGGAUGGACUCGCGGCCUAUCAGCUUGUUGGUGAGGUAAUGGCUCACCAAGGCGACGACGGGUAGCCGGCCUGAGAGGGUGACCGGCCACACUGGGACUGAGACACGGCCCAGACUCCUACGGGAGGCAGCAGUGGGGAAUAUUGCACAAUGGGCGAAAGCCUGAUGCAGCGACGCCGCGUGAGGGAUGACGGCCUUCGGGUUGUAAACCUCUUUCAGUAGGGAAGAAGCGAAAGUGACGGUACCUGCAGAAGAAGCACCGGCUAACUACGUG
rnacentral:rRNA from 1 species